AUUGAACGCUGGCGGCAUGCCUUACACAUGCAAGUCGAACGGCAGCACGGGAGCAAUCCUGGUGGCGAGUGGCGAACGGGUGAGUAAUAUAUCGGAACGUGCCCAGUAGUGGGGGAUAGCCCGGCGAAAGCCGGAUUAAUACCGCAUACGACCUACGGGUGAAAGGGGGGGAUCGCAAGACCUCUCGCUAUUGGAGCGGCCGAUAUCAGAUUAGGUAGUUGGUGGGGUAAAGGCCUACCAAGCCUGCGAUCUGUAGUUGGUCUGAGAGGACGACCAGCCACACUGGGACUGAGACACGGCCCAGACUCCUACGGGAGGCAGCAGUGGGGAAUUUUGGACAAUGGGCGCAAGCCUGAUCCAGCAAUGCCGCGUGCAGGAAGAAGGCCUUCGGGUUGUAAACUGCUUUUGUCAGGGAAGAAAUCCUCUGGGUUAAUACCUCGGGGGGAUGACGGUACCUGAAGAAUAAGCACCGGCUAACUACGUGCCAGCAGCCGCCGUAACAC
rnacentral:rRNA from 1 species